ensembl:piRNA 21ur-5912 ncRNA
UUCUCUUCGACAGACCUGAUA